AUACUUAGAUGGCAGGGGAGACGCCAUGCUCAGGAAAGUGGUUUCGACAGUGUUACUGCUCCUUGUCUGCGCCCUGGGUCUGCUGACCCUGCAGUUUUCCCAGUGCAGGAAGCUUGCCUGAGCAUUCGUGGUGGUGGGAGACYGCAUUCGUGCUGUGCUCUGC
rnacentral:snRNA from 1 species